ensembl:lncRNA
GGUAUAGCAGGGUUCUAAAUUACAUUUGAGCUCGGACCAAAAUCGUGGGGACCGACUACAGACAUUUGCACGACUAUGAAGUCUGAAACAAGACAUCGAUUAUAAAAUGGACUGAAUGUGCUGUUAUAGAGACACUAAUAAUUAUCGUGGAAAGUCUACAGUCUACGAGGUGUACACUUCUUUGUGAGGAGCCUGAAGAACUGUCUGAAUUCAGACCCGGAGGAGACUUGUGUCCAGGGAGUCCAACUUGGAAUAGUCACAGUGGUUGAAGGUGACGUUGGAACGGUCCGAUCAAGUCCAACAACAACAAGCAUCGCCCUGGUUAUUGAGCAAUGGAUUGUCCUGCAUGAUGCAUGCGACCUCUCAGCAGCAUUCUCUCAUCUGUGCUCUGUGUGUUUUUACUAAAUGCCACUGAUGUGUUGACCACAUCUGGUGAAAAGCAUUUCUAAAGACCAGUGUACAGUUGUCUUGUUACAGACUAUACGAUAGGUGCUUUUGUUUCUGUUCAUUCAUAAUAAAGGCAAAAAAGCCUCAUACUGUUUUUGGUUGAUUUAUUUUUUCU